rnacentral:rRNA from 1 species
AUGCACGCUGGCGGCGUGCCUAAUACCUGCAAGUCGAGCGAACAGACGAGGAGCUUGCUCCUCUGACGUUAGCGGCGGACGGGUGAGUAACACGUGGAUAACCUACCUAUAAGACUGGGAUAACUUCGGGAAACCGGAGCUAAUACCGGAUAAUAUAUUGAACCGCAUGGUUCAAUAGUGAAAGACGGUUUUGCUGUCACUUAUAGAUGGAUCCGCGCCGCAUUAGCUAGUUGGUAAGGUAACGGCUUACCAAGGCAACGAUGCGUAGCCGACCUGAGAGGGUGAUCGGCCACACUGGAACUGAGACACGGUCCAGACUCCUACGGGAGGCAGCAGUAGGGAAUCUUCCGCAAUGGGCGAAAGCUUGACGGAGCAACGCCGCGUGAGUGAUGAAGGUCUUCGGAUCGUAAAACUCUGUUAGUAGGGAAGAACAAAUGUGUAAGUAACUAUGCACGUCUUGACGGUACCUAAUCAGAAAGCCACGGCUAACUACGUG